GACGAACGCUGGCGGUGUGCUUAACACAUGCAAGUCGAACGGUAAGGCCCUUUCGGGGGUACACGAGUGGCGAACGGGGGAGUAACACGUGAGUAACCUGCCCUCAUCUCUGGGAUAACAGUCGGAAACGGUUGCUAAUACUGGAUAUGAGCUUGCAAGGCAUCUUGUGGGUUGGAAAGAUUUUUUUGGUUGGGGAUGGACUCGCGGCCUAUCAGCUUGUUGGUGAGGUAGUGGCUCACCAAGGCUUCGACGGGUAGCCGGCCUGGGAGGGCGACCGGCCACAUUGGGACUGAGAUACGGCCCAAACUCCUACGGGAGGCAGCAGUGGGGAAUAUUGCACAAUGGACGGAAGUCUGAUGCAGCAACGCCGCGGGCGGGAUGACGGCCUUCGGGUUGUAAACCGCUUUCAAUUGUGACGAAGCUUUUUGUGACGGUAGCAGUAGAAGAAGCACCGGCUAACUACGUG
rnacentral:rRNA from 1 species